CCCACAGCCGAGCAAUUCCCCAAUCCUAUCCCCGCGUGCCUCGCAGCCGCCGCUCGCGCCUCCCAUCCCCCGCCGCCAUCUCGCGCCUCCCAUCACCGCCAUCGCGUCGCGCGCCCCUUCUCGCCCACAGCGCCGCCGGUUCCUGCUGUGCGUCUGCGCCGGCGCAGCGUCCUGGCUCGAACCGCUGCGGAGCGCCGUCUCGGUCUCGUUUGCGGGAGGAGCGGCCGGUCGGCCUGCCCCGAGCCCGCCGCGGGACGCCGUCUCGUUGCUGGGAGGAACGGCCGGUCAGCCCGCGCUACGCCAGGGCGUCGAGCCCGCCGCUGCACAUCGUGCUAUGGCUGGGCUGCUCCGCGCGAGUAGCAGCAGCGUGCCGGAGAGAUGAGGUAUCAUAUGGGGGAGGAGGAGACAGAGGCUGGGGUGGAGGAGAUGGAGCAGCGCCGUAUCGCCAUCGCCGGGAGCAGUUCCGCCUUGCACUGGACCCGACCGACUGUGAGGGGAGCGGCGUCGGCGGUGGCCGCAAACCUCACCGUCCCCUGCAGUGGCCGGCGAUUUGAGACAUGGGCAAAGGAGAAGAUGCUAACAUGGAAUUAGAUUGUGGAUCCUUCCAAUAUUCCUCAGGGGGACUAUCCCAUUUCAAGCACAUCAUGUGUGGAUGCCAAGAGGUUGCGCUGUUCCGCAACACUAUCUGACCCCGUACUCUCUCUCUCUCUCUCAAGAAGGCUGCUCUACAGGGAGGUUUUUUUUACCAGGAGGAGUGCGGCAUCACCAUCUCCGGGAGAAGAGAAGGCCGCCGCACGUGUCACUAGCUGUUGUGCCUCUCCCUCCUUGAGGUUUAGGUAAUUUAUGUCUUGGGUUGCAAUGGUUUCCCAAACUCAAUCCUCAGAUCUGUGUUGUGCAGAAUUUUGAGUGGAAGAAGCAUGCCUCUCCAAGUUUAAUGCACGUAUAUCAUGAUCUGGAAAUUUCGAACAUCAGUAAUGAUAUGGAAAAGGUUGGUUUGAAUGCAUUGUAAUGCUUGAAGCUCUCAUUGGGCUUAUUUUAUCCUCCAAACGAUAUCCGAAGCAAUCAAGUUCGCCAACUACAACAAUGGCAACCAUCUGUUUGGUGUUGGCAAUGGACGUGGGACCUAGGCCCCGGAGAUCAAUGGCGACGAGGAGCUGCUGCUGGUCGUCGUUGCGGCACUUGCGCUCAUCUGACAGUGAGUGACGUUCAGCCAGUAACAAGUUAUCUAUCUUCUUUGGGCGGGAGGAUCAAGUGAUCACCAAAAUAUUUCUUCAGAUCUUUCACUUUCAUGGUGUUGUAUGAUUAAAUGGAUUCUAAGAAAAUGAGUUGAGUAUGUGUUUCAAUUUUUUGAGAGAAAGAUCAAAAUGUUAAUACUAAGAUUAUCUUCAUUGAAUGGCAAAUCCUUAAUAUUGUUGUUGAAGGAUGAGGAUGACAGGAUGCAGAAAAAUACUUUUACCAACAAUCAUUGUGGCCUCUACUAAAGUGAUUUAUAGGUUCGGCAUUAUGCUACUGGUUAUGUGUUCUGCUAUAAUUAAUGAUGGGCAUGGAAGUACGCAAAAGGGACAGAUGAUUGGGAUCAAGGUUCAGUGACUUGAUCCAGGUCAAAGGACAUUAUCUGACUUGAAGACCAGCCAUUCCUAAAGAAGGAUUACUAGGAGACGUACACUGGUGAUAUUGUUUCCGUCUUCAGUAACGGUUAAUAUGCCACCGCUGUGCCGCAACAGAGCGUCCAGAGCCGCCACAUACGGUGGUGAGGAAGAGCGUGCGCAGGGAGCAUGUGCAGAUUGUCAUGGGAGGAUUAAUCUGUGUAACUGAGGAAAACAAUACCGCCGGAGUUGAUCCUGACAGUUGACGUGAAGCAGUGUGGAAGAACGGCAUGAAGAUGAAGGCAGCGAGCUGCUGGAUACAAUCGCGCCAGACCUGGUGUUCAUCAUCGAUGAUAAGUCGGACCAGGUGUUCACCCGGUAUGGAAACAACUUGGUGGCCAGGAGAAGAUACCCCUCGCGAUGUCCUGACAGGCACCCAUGCACCUGGCAAUGCUGGACAGAUGUAGGAUGACAGGGUCUAUCUGCUCCAUGAUCCACCCAUGGUCGGAGUAGUGAUAGCAUGAUGGCGCCAAUGUGAUCUUAUACCAAUUUAUCCCCAACAUGCAUACACACAAAGCGAAAGAUUUCAUGUGUGCUUAUGUCCUUUCCUCUUUUAGCUAACGACAGCUUUUGUGUUCUUUUAAUUUUGUUACCAGGAAUUACAGCUAGGCCAUAGAAGGCAAAAGCUUGAGCAAAAAACUGUGUUUGCUGGUCAACAUGUGUGGAUGCUGCCGGCUUGGCUCGAUUCUUCCUCACGCGUCGCGGAUGGCUUCGUUGUGCCUCACUGAAAGGUUGUCAGCCUAAUGGAGUCUCUUUAGAUGGAGGCUGUCGAGCUCGAGACUGUCGAGAUCCUGCCUGGUAUCAUGUUGGAAGCUAUGUUGCAGAAGGUGCAACUACCUAUUAGAAUUAGGUUUUUUUGUGCGCAGUGGCCUCUAAAGACGGAAUUGCAGCGAGCUUAUUUAGAUGUUACUUUUGUUAGUUCUGGCUUUACCUCUAUUUGUCUCCAAAAACCAUAAGAGUGUUAAUAUAUUUCGCUAUUUCCCUCAUUGCUUAUAAGCAUUGUUGUUCCGUUCUGAUUUCGUGUGUUCAACUUAUUGAUUUUGUUUUCUAAAUCCUGUAAAACGUA